rnacentral:rRNA from 1 species
GAGCGGCGCAAGGGAGAGUAACGCGUGGAUACCUGCCCCGAGGUCCGGGAUAGCCCAUCGAAAGGUGGGGUAAUACCGGAUAACAUCUCCGGAUCAAAGGUGUGAUUCCGCCUCGGGAUGGGUCCGCGUCCUAUUAGCUUGUUGGUGGGGUAAUGGCCUACCAAGGCGACGAUGGGUAGUGGGCGUUAGCGCGUGGCCCGCCUCACUGGGACUGAGACACUGCCCAGACACCUACGGGUGGCUGCAGUCGAGAAUCUUCGGCAAUGGGCGCAAGCCUGACCGAGCGACGCCGCGUGCGGGAUGAAGGCCUUCGGGUUGUAAACCGCUGUCAGAGGGGAGGAAGGGUCCGUGAAGAGCGGAACUUGACCUAUCCUCAGAGGAAGUGCGGGCUAAGUUCGUGCCAGCAGCCGCGGUAAGACGAACCGCACAAACGUUAUUCGGAAUCACUGGGCUUAAAGGGUGCGUAGGCGGCCGUUCAAGUCGGGUGUGAAAGCCCUCAGCUUAACUGAGGAAUUGCGCCCGAUACUGUUCGGCUUGAGGGAGACAGAGGUGAGCGGAACUUGCGGUGGAGCGGUGAAAUGCGUUGAUAUCGCAAGGAACACCAGUAGCGAAAGCGGCUCACUGGGUCUCUUCUGACGCUGAGGCACGAAAGCUAGGGUAGCGAAGAGGAUUAGAUACCCUCGUAGUCCUAGCUGUAAACGCUGAGCACUGGAUUGGAGGGGUCCUCCAUAGCCUUCCGGUCGUAGCGAAAGUGUUAAGUGCUCCGCCUGGGGAGUAUGGUCGCAAGGNGCUGGAAAACUUUCCCCAAAAGGGAAUUGACGGGGGCUCACACAAGCGGUGGAGGAUGUGGCUUAAUUCGAGGCUAACGCCGAAGAACCUUAUCCUGGAUUUGACAUGCUUGGGAAUCCCCUGGAACAGGGGAGUGCCCUCGGGGAGCCUGCACAGGUGCUGCAUGCGUCGUCAGCUCGUGUCGUGAGAU